rnacentral:rRNA from 1 species
GAUGAACGCUGGCUACAGGCUUAACACAUGCAAGUCGAGGGGAAACGACGGGGAAGCUUGCUUCCCCGGGCGUCGACCGGCGCACGGGUGAGUAACGCGUAUCCAACCUGCCUCUGACUGAGGGAUAACCCGUCGAAAGUCGGCCUAAUACCUCAUGGUAUCGUCUGCGGGCAUCCAACGACGAUUAAAGAUUUCAUCGGUCAGGGAUGGGGAUGCGUCUGAUUAGCUUGUUGGCGGGGUAACGGCCCACCAAGGCUACGAUCAGUAGGGGUUCUGAGAAGAAGGUCCCCCACAUUGGAACUGAGACACGGUCCAAACUCCUACGGGAGGCAGCAGUGAGGAAUAUUGGUCAAUGGGCGAGAGCCUGAACCAGCCAAGUAGCGUGCAGGAAGACGGCCCUAUGGGUUGUAAACUGCUUUUAUGCGGGGAUAAAGUGAGGGACGUGUCCCUCAUUGCAGGUACCGCAUGAAUAAGGACCGGCUAAUUCCGUG